UGAUUGGUGGCAACGGCAGCAGCACCGAAAGUAGCCAUUAAUUUGCUAAUUUUUGAUCGUUUCGUGAUAUUUAGUUAGUGAGUGACAGAGCGAAAGAUUAUUUGUUGAUUCGGUGAUGAUUUUGAAAGAAGAGGGAAACCAAAAGUAAAAGAGAAAAGCUAUUUAUAGAGAGGACUGAGGAGAAAUGUAGUGGGUGUAGGUUAAGACUCUGCGCAUACCCCGCGUAACGUUGUAUCAACGUCUGUUAACUGAACUGCGCAAAAACUACGACCAGCCAGCCAAGGCUUGCGUUUUGUUGCGCAAGGGAUGGCAGAAAAGUGAGCGCGCGGCCCAGCCCGGCUUCGGCUUCACUUUUGGGGUUCGGGUCAGAUUUAAGCUUUUGAUAGUAGAGACCAAAUAUCUGAUUUAAUAUUGAAAAAAUCUACAACAAAAUAAUCAAAUAAUAAUAAAAAAUUUAAUUAGGAACUUAUGGGAUUAUACCAAAUAGACACUUACCAAUUGCAUUGUGAUAAUUGAUACUGUAUUUGUUUCUAUUCAAUUUUAUUUUAAUUUCAUGUAAUUUUAUUAUAUUAAGUGUCACUAUUACUAAUUAUUAAUUAGUGUUAUUUACUAUUAAUAACUUUUCCCCCUUUUUCAUCUUUUAGUCUUUCUUUCCGUGUGAAGGUUGCUUUUUCUUCCUUCUUUAUAAAGGUUAGUCUUUGCUUCCAUGUGAAGGCUAACUUUUCUUUCCUUGUGAAGAUUAGUUUCCAAUUCAUUCAUAUUAUUUAAAAUUUCUACAAUAAAUACAUACAUAUUAUUAAAAUAAAUACAAUAAUUUUAAUAGUUUAAUAUUUAAAUUUAUUAAAAUAUUUUAAUAUUAUUAGUCUACUGCAUAGAUUACAUUAUUUAUAUAAUAUUUGUACGGUAAAUAAUUUUUAAAGAUUAUCGGAAAGAAAAAAGAACAAAGAAAAUAAAUAAACAAAGUAUACCUCGAUUGACUUGUUAGGGUUUUGAUUGGUGGCAACGGCAGCAGCACCGAAAGUAGCCAUUAUUGCUUGAAGCAGUUCAGUUAAUUUGCUAUUAACUUGCUAAUUUUUUAUCGUUUCGUGAUAUUUUGUUAGUGAGUGACAGAGUGAAAGAUUAUUUGUUGAUUCGGUGAUGAUUUUGAAAGAAGAGGGAAACGAAAAGCAAAAGAGAAAAGCUAUUUAUAGAGAGGACAGAGGAGAAAUGUAGUGGGCGUAGGUUAAGACUCUGCGCAUACCCCGCGUAGCGUUGAAUCAACGCCUGUUAACUUAACUGCGCAAAAACUACGACCAGCCAGGCAAGGCUUGAGUUGCGUUGCUGAUAGGGAUGGCAGAAAAGUGAGCGCCCGGCCCAGCCAGGCUUCGGCUCCACUUUUAGGUUUCGGCUCGGAUUAGGACUUAAGGUAUUCGAAAUUGAGCCGGAUCGGGGUCGGGCUAGGGGUAUAACAAGAAAGUCCGACUCCGAUCCUUCAGCCCGACAAUUAAAU
rnacentral:lncRNA from 1 species